UACAGAGGUCCCGAGCGUUGUUCGGAUUCACUGGGCGUAAAGGGCGCGUAGGCUGCGGGGCAAGUCGGGUGUGAAAUCUCAGAGCUCAACUCUGAAACUGCACUCGAUACUGCUUUGCUUGAGGACUGGAGAGGAGAUUGGAAUUCACGGUGUAGCAGUGAAAUGCGUAGAUAUCGUGAGGAAGACCAGUGGCGAAGGCGGAUCUCUGGACAGUUCCUGACGCUGAGGCGCGAAGGCCAGGGGAGCAAACGGG
rnacentral:rRNA from 1 species